AUUGAACGCUGGCGGCAGGCCUAACACAUGCAAGUCGAACGGUAACAGGAAACAGCUUGCUGUUUCGCUGACGAGUGGCGGACGGGUGAGUAAUGUCUGGGAAACUGCCUGAUGGAGGGGGAUAACUACUGGAAACGGUAGCUAAUACCGCAUAACGUCGCAAGACCAAAGAGGGGGACCCUCGGGCCUCUUGCCAUCGGAUGUGCCCAGAUGGGAUUAGCUUGUUGGUGGGGUAACGGCUCACCAAGGCGACGAUCCCUAGCUGGUCUGAGAGGAUGACCAGCCACACUGGAACUGAGACACGGUCCAGACUCCUACGGGAGGCAGCAGUGGGGAAUAUUGCACAAUGGGCGUAAGCCUGAUGCAGCCAUGCCGCGUGUAUGAAGAGGGCCUUCGGGUUGUAAAGUACUUUCAGCGGGGAGGAAGGGAGUAAAGUUAAUACCUUUGCUCAUUGACGUUACCCGCAGAAGAAGCACCGGCUAACUCCGUG
rnacentral:rRNA from 1 species